rnacentral:misc_RNA from 1 species
CCGAGUGAGGGCCCCCGGCCCGACCUCCAACCCAUUGUUGUCCGACCACGUUGCCUCGGGUGGGCGCCGGCCCACGCGGCCGACCGCCCCCCGGUGGACCCCUUCUCAACUCUCGCGUCCCGCCGUCUGAGUCUUUGAUUAUUAAAUCGAAACA